ensembl:lncRNA
AUGCUCCUCAGCGGUCUCCGGUGCGGCGGCAAGCCCUGGACGGAGCGGCGGUCAGAGCCCGCCCGGUGCCAUCGCCGCCCGCGGAGCUCGGAGGGCAGCCCGCCGCGGCGCGUUGCGGGGUCGGGUGGGACGGGGUCCGCGGCGGCUCGGGCGCUGCGGCUCGGGCCCCAGGGGGCGCGGGCCGCCCCGCUCACAGCCACCCCGCUGCGCCCGGGGGGGCGCGGCGAGCAGCCCGCUUCUCGCACAUACUCGCCGGGCGCCGUUCGCAAGCGGCCGCCGGGCGCCGCGGGCCUCCUGGUUCGCGCCGCCGGACAAACUUCGCCAAGUUUCGGCGGGAUACGGGGCACUCCGCUUGCUGCGCGACUCCCCCUUCUCCGGCAGCCGCCAGGGCCGGUGACACCGGAGGGGAGCGGCUGCCGCCCUGGAGAGCAUCCCUGGGUGUGGGCAGCGGACAUCUCAAAAAAAAUCCACGCAUGUUUUCCUGGCCGCUCGGGACGCCGCUUCACGGUGCCCCCAGCCCGAGCUGUCCUACCGUGUUCCUCACCGGCCGCCUGUCCGUCAGGGUUUUGCCCGGGACGGCUCCGCCGCCCUUUUAAGGAAAAGCCGGAACCGGGCUUCCCGAGUGCGAUGCACGCGUGGGGUCGCAGCCCCUCCGGGAGCAUUACCGAACCCCCGCCGGACGCGCCUCACGGUCCGGCGGACGGCUGGGACAUCGCGCGGGGUCGGGGGGGAGUGGUGUCCGCUCCCCUCAGAGACUCCUUUGUCACGCCGCCCGCUGUCGUCUUGUCCGGGUUCCUCUCCGCGGAGCCCGCUCCAUCCUCCGGCCAGUCUCGGUUCCCCGCUCCAGCCGCGCUCCAGCCGUUGGGCUUUGCACCUUCCCUGCCGCCGCACUGCACCUCUGCCCGCCACCACCACCCGCAGCUACUUCGCUGGCGGGAUGUUUGGAGAGAAUCCGAGCGCCGGCCUUCCACCGGCGGGUGGCCCCCGGCGCUCUCCCCGACGGUGAGACUUUCCGGGUCCCGCGGCAGCCUGUCACGGCCAGAGUGCCCUGUAAAAUACCGAGCAGCUCCUCUGUAA